GAUGAACGCUGGCGGCGUGCCUAAUACAUGCAAGUCGAGCGAACAGACGAGGAGCUUGCUCCUCUGACGUUAGCGGCGGACGGGUGAGUAACACGUGGAUAACCUACCUAUGAGACUGGGAUAACUUCGGGAAACCGGAGCUAAUACCGGAUAAUAUAUUGAACCGCAUGGUUCAAUAGUGAAAGACGGUUUUGCUGUCACUUAUAGAUGGAUCCGCGCCGCAUUAGCUAGUUGGUAAGGUAACGGCUUACCAAGGCAACGAUGCGUAGCCGACCUGAGAGGGUGAUCGGCCACACUGGAACUGAGACACGGUCCAGACUCCUACGGGAGGCAGCAGUAGGGAAUCUUCCGCAAUGGGCGAAAGCUUGACGGAGCAACGCCGCGUGAGUGAUGAAGGUCUUCGGAUCGUAAAACUCUGUUAUUAGGGAAGAACAAAUGUGUAAGUAACUAUGCACGUCUUGACGGUACCUAAUCAGAAAGCCACGGCUAACUACGUG
rnacentral:rRNA from 1 species